rnacentral:rRNA from 1 species
GACAGAGGGUGCAAACGUUGUUCGGGAAUUACUGGGGCGUAAAGCGCGUGUAGGCGGCCCAGCAAGUCGGAUGUGAAAGCCCUGGGCUUAACCUAGGAAGUGCAUUCGAAACUUGCUGGGCUUGAGUUCUGGAGAGGAAGGCGGAAUUCUCGGUGUAGAGGUGAAAUUCGUGAGAUAUACCGAGAGGAACACCGGUGGCGAAG